AUUGAACGCUGGCGGCAUGCCUUACACAUGCAAGUCGAACGGUAACAGGUUAAGCUGACGAGUGGCGAGCGGGUGAGUAAUGUAUCGGAACGUGCCCAGUCGUGGGGGAUAACUGCUCGAAAGAGCAGCUAAUACCGCAUACGACCUGAGGGUGAAAGCGGGGGAUCGCAAGACCUCGCGCGAUUGGAGCGGCCGAUAUCAGAUUAGGUAGUUGGUGAGGUAAAGGCUCACCAAGCCGACGAUCUGUAGCUGGUCUGAGAGGACGACUAGCCACACUGGGACUGAGACACGGCCCAGACUCCUACGGGAGGCAGCAGUGGGGAAUUUUGGACAAUGGGCGCAAGCCUGAUCCAGCCAUGCCGCGUGCGGGAAGAAGGCCUUCGGGUUGUAAACCGCUUUUGUCAGGGAAGAAAAGGUUCUGGCUAAUACCUGGGACUCAUGACGGUACCUGAAGAAUAAGCACCGGCUAACUACGUG
rnacentral:rRNA from 1 species